rnacentral:rRNA from 1 species
CCUACGGGGGGCUGCAGUGGGGAAUAUUGGACAAUGGGGGCAACCCUGAUCCAGCCAUGCCGCGUGUGUGAAGAAGGCCCUCGGGUUGUAAAGCACUUUCAGUGAGGAAGAACGCCUGGUGGUUAAUACCCAUCAGGAAAGACAUCACUCACAGAAGAAGCACCGGCUAACUCCGUGCCAGCAGCCGCGGUAAUACGGAGGGUGCGAGCGUUAAUCGGAAUUACUGGGCGUAAAGCGCGCGUAGGUGGCUUGAUAAGCCGGUUGUGAAAGCCCCGGGCUCAACCUGGGAACGGCAUCCGGAACUGUCAAGCUAGAGUGCAGGAGAGGAAGGUAGAAUUCCCGGUGUAGCGGUGAAAUGCGUAGAGAUCGGGAGGAAUACCAGUGGCGAAGGCGGCCUUCUGGACUGACACUGCCACUGAGGUGCGAAAGCGUGGGUAGCAAACAGGAUUAGAUACCCGUGUAGUC